GACGAACGCUGGCGGCGUGCUUAACACAUGCAAGUCGAACGGAAAGGCCCUGCUUUUGUGGGCGGCUCGAGUGGCGAACCGGUGAGUAACACGUUAGUAACCUGCCCUAGACUUUGGGAUAACUUCAGGAAACUGGGGAUAAUACCGGAUAGGAGCUCCUGCUGCAUGGUGUGGGUUGGAAAGUUUCGGCGGUUGGGGAUGGACUCGCGGCUUGUCAGCUUGCUGGUGGGGUCGGGUCUUACCAAGGCUUCGACGGGUAGCCGGCCUGAGAGGGUGACCGGCCACAUUGGGACUGAGAUACGGCCCAGACUCGUACGGGAGGCAGCGGUGGGGAGUAUUGCACAAUGGGCGGAAGCCUGACGCAGUAACGCCGCGUGCGGGAUGACGGCCUUCGGGUUGUAAACCGCUUUCGCCUUUGGCGAGGCGUGAGUGACGGUAAUGGGUAAAGAAGCACCGGCUAACUACGUG
rnacentral:rRNA from 1 species